UAAGAGGCUUUUAUAAAAGCCAAGUUUAAAUAGUUUAAAUAAUUGU
rfam:Physcomitrella patens subsp. patens PHYPAscaffold_310 genomic scaffold, whole genome shotgun sequence.